CUAUAGUGGAUCAACUGUCGCCAACAUCCACUACAAGGGCUUAUUGAGAUCAUGUUUAUGUGUCAGUCAAACUUCACCAGUGUCAUUGUGAGCAGUCACACCAUCACAGGUCAAAGAACCAUUCACACAACUAUAGCAUCGAGACAUUCACUGAGAUCAAAUAGAAAUCCAAGUAAUCUCUCGUAUGGUCACACUCAGUACUAGUUGUUCUCUAACAACUACCUACACUCGUCGCUCAAUAUCUCUACACUGUAGACCAGAGACUCAUCUACCCCGAAGGAAGUGAUCUGUGUAUCGAUCUAUCCAGGUCGAUCACUGUCCUCAUGAUGAUACUAUGAUCGAGAGUAUUUAAGAAUUAACUACAUGUCUCUAAUUCUCAAUAUUUUAAAAAUAUGUAUUGAAAUGUUAAUUUUAUAGGCGAUUCAAGCACAUAUCACAUUUGAAUAAAAAAUAAACUUGUCCUUUUAUUGA
rnacentral:lncRNA from 1 species